rnacentral:lncRNA from 1 species
CACAAAGAGAACCAUGGAACCCAGCAACUAGUGUUCAGCUCGAUUAGGGCAAACUCGGGCACUUAGCCGUGCAGGAACAAUGGCUAUUAUCUUGAAUCAUUUUAGAAAUAUAAUAAAUGAUUGCCUAGUGAAAAAAAAAAAACUGAACAGAUGACUGAAAUCUCCAAGGAAGCAUGUGUAGACUUUCAUGAGAAGAAAACUGAAAAUUGAUUUUUGGUGGAGGAAGGACAAGGAUGCUAUUUCCUGCAAGAGAAGACAAAUCUGCAUAACAGAAGGGGCCAUAAGACAUGAGAAUGUAGUGCUGGCUUGUAUACCGUGGGUUGAAGUGAAUUGAACAAAACCAUCUGAGGGUUGUUCAGAAGAUAGACGGGAAGAUGGUUUCAGAAAAGUUUCUGUGACCAAAGUUAAUAUAGGAAAUUCCUCUGAUGUUCUUUGAGAAGCAAAAGUAAAUAAUUGGAUGUUUCUUAAAAUACAUUUGGCUGGCAAACGCCCCUCAGUUUUCCCAUUGAUGAAAACAAGCCAGACAGCGGACAAAGAAAGAUAUGGUGACUUGAAAGUAGGGAUGACUAAUGAAGUUCAGACCGGAAGCCCUGUGAGGAGAUAGGAUGGCUGGGAUAAGACAGCUAAAAUGUGUUUCUGAAAAGCCACCAAGAAGCCAUGACUGAUUCACUGUGAGUAAACUGGUUCCU